UACGGAGGAUCCAAGCGUUAUCCGGAUUUAUUGGGUUUAAAGGGUGCGUAGGCGGCCUAUUAAGUCAGGGGUGAAAGACGGUAGCUUAACUAUCGCAGUGCCCUUGAUACUGAUGGGCUUGAAUGUACUUGAGGUAGGCGGAAUGUGACAAGUAGCGGUGAAAUGCGUAGAUAUGUCACAGAACACCAAUUGCGAAGGCAGCUUACUAAAGUAUGAUUGACGCUGAGGCACGAAAGCGUGGGGAUCAAACAGG
rnacentral:rRNA from 1 species